rnacentral:rRNA from 1 species
UACGUAGGGUGCGAGCGUUAAUCGGAAUUACUGGGCGUAAAGCGUGCGCAGGCGGUUUGUUAAGACAGAUGUGAAAUCCCCGGGCUUAACCUGGGAACUGCAUUUGUGACUGGCAAGCUAGAGUAUGGCAGAGGGGGUAGAAUUCCACGUGUAGCAGUGAAAUGCGUAGAGAUCAUGAGGAAGACCAGUGGCGAAGGCGGGUCUCUGGACAGUUCCUGACACUGAGGCACGAAGGCCAGGGGAGCAAACGGG